GUGCCAGCCGCCGCGGUAACACGGGGGGAACGAGCGUUGUUCGGAUUUACUGGGCGUAAAGGGUGCGUAGGCGGGUCGGCAAGUCGGGUGUGAAAUUCCACAGCUUAACUGUGGAUCUGCAUUCGAAACUGCCGGUCUUGAGUACUGGAGAGGUGAGUGGAAUUCCUGGUGUAGCGGUGAAAUGCGUAGAUAUCAGGAGGAACACCGUUGGCGAAGGCGGCUCACUGGACAGAUACUGACGCUGAGGCACGAAGGUCGGGGGAGCAAACAGGAUUAGAUACCCUCGUAGUCC
rnacentral:rRNA from 1 species